rnacentral:tRNA from 1 species
CUGGACAUAGCUAAAAUAGUAUAGCAUCUCCCUUACACCGAGAAGAUGCCCGUGCAAAUCGGGCCGCCCUGA